rnacentral:rRNA from 1 species
UACGGAAGGCAGCAGUGGGGAAUAUUGCACAACGGGCGAAAGCCUGAUGCAGCUAUGCCGCGUGUAUGAAGAAGGCCUUAGGGUUGUAAAGUACUUUCAUCGGGGAGGAAAAAACAAAACUAAUAAUUUUAUUUCUUGACGUUACCCGAAAAAGAAGCACCGGCUAACUCCGUGCCAGCAGCCGCGGUAAUACGGAGGGUGCUAGCGUUAAUCAGAAUUACUGGGCGUAAAGAGCACGUAGGUGGUUUUUUUAAAGUCAGAUGUGAAAUCCCUGGGCUUAACCUAGGAACUGCAUUUUGAAACUGAAAUACUAGAGUAUCGUAGAGGGAGGUAGAAUUCUAGGUGUAGCGGUGAAAUGCGUAGAUAUCUGGAGGAAUACCUGUGGCGAAAGCGGCCUCCUAAACGAAUACUGACACUGAGGGUGCGAAAGCGUGGGGAGCAAACAGGGAUUAGAUACC